GAUGAACGCUGGCGGCGUGCCUAAUACAUGCAAGUCGAACGAGGUGCUUGAGUAGCAAUACAAGAGUAUCCUAGUGGCGAACGGGUGAGUAACGCGUGGGUGACCUGCCCCGAAGUGUGGGAUAACAGUCCGAAAGGAUUGCUAAUACCUCAUGUGGUUAUCGGAUUUAGAAACUGAUAACUAAAGCAGCAAUGCGCUUUGGGAGGGACCUGCGUCCCAUCAGCUAGUUGGUGAGGUAAUGGCUCACCAAGGCUACGACGGGUAGGGGACCUGAGAGGGUGGCCCCCCACAAUGGAACUGAAACACGGUCCAUACACCUACGGGUGGCAGCAGUAGGGAAUAUUGCACAAUGGGCGAAAGCCUGAUGCAGCAACGCCGCGUGUGCGAUGAAGGCCUUCGGUCGUAAGACGACUUUCUUCGUAGAGAUGAG
rnacentral:rRNA from 1 species